rnacentral:lncRNA from 1 species
CUGCCUGGCUACACUAGUUCGAGAGGUAUGCAUCGGCGGCAUCACCUGAGGGUCGGGCUCCGCCGCUUCACGGGUAGAACUUGCGCAAGUGAUCAAUAUUCCAACUAUUUGGCACCGGCAAGCCGUCUUCGGUUUCCAGCUGGACAGCCCCUGGCUUGGUCACCUGCAGUACCCGGAAGGGGUCCUCCCAUUUCGGAGCCAACUUGUUCCCGGC